AACGAACGCUGGCGGCAUGCCUAACACAUGCAAGUCGAACGAGACCUUCGGGUCUAGUGGCGCACGGGUGCGUAACGCGUGGGAACCUGCCCUUAGGUUCGGAAUAACUCCCCGAAAGGGGUGCUAAUACCGGAUAAUGUCUUCGGACCAAAGAUUUAUCGCCUUUGGAUGGGCCCGCGUUGGAUUAGCUAGUUGGUAGGGUAAAAGCAUACUAAGGCGACGAUCCAUAGAUGGUCUGAGAGGAUGAUCAGCCACACUGGGACUGAGACACGGCCCAGACUCCUACGGGAGGCAGCAGUGGGGAAUAUUGGACAAUGGGCGAAAGCCUGAUCCAGCAAUGCCGCGUGAGUGAUGAAGGCCUUAGGGUUGUAAAGCUCUUUUACCCGGGAUGAUAAUGACAGUACCGGGAGAAUAAGCUCCGGCUAACUCCGUG
rnacentral:rRNA from 1 species